GAUGAACGCUAGCGACAGGCUUAACACAUGCAAGUCGAGGGGCAGCACGGGAGUAGCAAUACAACUGGUGGCGACCGGCGCACGGGUGAGUAACGCGUAUGCAACCUACCUAUCAGAGGGGAAUAACCCGGCGAAAGUCGGACUAAUACCGCAUAAAACAGGGGCACCGCAUGGUGAUAUUUGUUAAAGAAAUUCGCUGAUAGAUGGGCAUGCGUUCCAUUAGGUAGUUGGUGAGGUAACGGCUCACCAAGCCGACGAUGGAUAGGGGAACUGAGAGGUUGGUCCCCCACACUGGUACUGAGACACGGACCAGACUCCUACGGGAGGCAGCAGUGAGGAAUAUUGGUCAAUGGGCGGGAGCCUGAACCAGCCAAGUCGCGUGAAGGAAGAAGGAUCUAUGGUUCGUAAACUUCUUUUGCAGGGGAAUAAAGUGCAGGACGUGUCCUGUUUUGUAUGUACCCUGAGAAUAAGGAUCGGCUAACUCCGUGCCAGCAGCCGCGGUAAUACGGAGGAUCCGAGCGUUAUCCGGAUUUAUUGGGUUUAAAGGGUGCGUAGGUGGUUUGAUAAGUCAGCGGUGAAAGUUUGCAGCUUAACUGUAAAAAUGCCGUUGAAACUGUCGGACUUGAGUGUAAAUGAGGUAGGCGGAAUGCGUGGUGUAGCGGUGAAAUGCAUAGAUAUCACGCAGAACUCCGAUUGCGAAGGCAGCUUACUAAGCUACAACUGACACUGAAGCACGAAAGCGUGGGGAUCAAACAGGAUUAGAUACCCUGGUAGUCCACACAGUAAACGAUGAUACUCGCUGUUUGCGAUAUACAGUAAGCGGCCAAGCGAAAGCAUUAAGUAUUCCACCUGGGGAGUACGCCGGCAACGGUGAAACUCAA
rnacentral:rRNA from 1 species